rnacentral:rRNA from 1 species
UGUGUGCCUUGGAGUCUCAGUAGAGUUUGAUCAUGGCUCAGAUCGAACGCUAGCGGAAUGCCUUACACAUGCAAGUCGAACGGCAGCGCGGACUUCGGUCUGGCGGCGAGUGGCGAACGGGUGAGUAAUGUAUCGGAACGUGCCCAGUAGCGGGGGACAACCACUCGAAAGAGUGGCUAAUACCGCAUACGCCCUACGGGGAAAGGGGGGGAUCGCAAGACCUCUCACUAUUGGAGCGGCCGAUAUCGGAUUAGCUAGUUGGUGGGGUAAAGGCCUACCAAGGCGACGAUCCGUAGCUGGUUUGAGAGGACGACCAGCCACACUGGGACUGAGACACGGCCCAGACUCCUACGGGAGGCAGCAGUGGGGAAUUUUGGACAAUGGGGGAAACCCUGGUCCAGCCAUUCCGCGUGUGCGAUGAAGGCCUUCGGGUUGUAAAGCACUUUUGGCAGGAAAGAAAUCGUGUAGGUUAAUACCCUGCGCGGAUGACGGUACCUGCAGAAUAAGCACCGGCUAACUACGUG